UGCAAGUCGAGCGCCCCGCAAGGGGAGCGGCAGACGGGUGAGUAACGCGUGGGAACGUACCUUUUGCUACGGAAUAACUCAGGGAAACUUGUGCUAAUACCGAAUACGCCCUUCGGGGGAAAGAUUUAUCGCCUUUGGAUGGGCCCGCGUCGGAUUAGCUUGUUGGUGGGGUAAUGGCCUACCAAGGCGACGAUCCGUAGCUGGUCUGAGAGGAUGAUCAGCCACACUGGGACUGAGACACGGCCCAGACUCCUACGGGAGGCAGCAGUGGGGAAUAUUGGACAAUGGGCGCAAGCCUGAUCCAGCCAUGCCGCGUGAGUGAAGAAGGCCUUAGGGUUGUAAAACUCUUUCACCGGUGAAGAUAAUGACGGUAGCCGGAGAAGAAGCCCCGGCUAACUCCGUGCCAGCAGCCGCGGUAAUACGGAGGGGGCUAGCGUUGUUCGGAAUUACUGGGCGUAAAGCGCGCGUAGGCGGACUGGUCAGUUGGGGGUGAAAUCCCGAGGCUCAACCUCGGAACUGCCUUCAAUACUGCCAGUCUUGAGUCCGGGAGAGGUGAGUGGAAUUCCUAGUGUAGAGGUGAAAUUCGUAGAUAUUAGGAAGAACACCAGUGGCGAAGGCGGCUCACUGGCCCGGUACUGACGCUGAGGCGCGAAAGCGUGGGGAGCAAACAGGAUUAGAUACCCUG
rnacentral:rRNA from 1 species